GACGAGCUGUUCCUCUUUGGCCUCAGCUCUGAAGUCCAACCCCUCACAUCUCACACACCUGGUGCUGUUUGGUAACAGAGUGAGUUCAUCAGAUGUGGAGGAGCUCCUGGAGCUUAAACAGAGUCCUCACUGUCGACUGGAGACACUCGAGUGGGGGUGGUGACUCUGAAGAUGUUUGUGUCGUGAGCAGAACGCUGACAGAGCCCAGAGACACAAACACAAAUGCUGCAUUUUAUCCAAAGAAAACAGUGUGUCAUUUAAACUUCCUCCAUUCCAGUCCAUUGGGAGAAGUGUAUGUAAAUAUGAGCUCAGUCACAAUAUAAAAUGGACACAUAAAUGUUUCAUAUUUGUUCUCACCACAGAUUAGGUUCAGAAUGAAUGAAUGAAAAUGAAUUUUACAGUAGAUACUUUUUACUUUUACUUUGUUACAUUUGAGAACGUGUAUCUGUACUUUUUAGAAAAGGACUGAAAAGUAAAAAGUACUUUUAUUUGUGGUUUGA